rnacentral:rRNA from 1 species
UACGUAGGGUGCAAGCGUUGUCCGCAAUUCUUGGGCGUAAAGAGCUCGUAGGCGGUCUGUCGCGUCGGCUGUGAAAUCCCGGAGCUCAACUCCGGGUCUGCAGUCGAUACGGGCAAACUGGAGUACUGCAGGGGAGACUGGAAUUCCUGGUGUAGCGGUGAAAUGCGCAGAUAUCAGGAGGAACACCGGUGGCGAAGGCGGGUCUCUGGGCAGUAACUGACGCUGAGGAGCGAAAGCGUGGGGAGCGAACAGG